ACUGACUGACUGACUGGUUGACUUGUCACCUUGAAAUUUGAAAAACAAAGAUUGGAGGCUGUGCGGCUGGAGUGAUCACAAAAUGCGAGAGCUGAUGAGUCUGACAAACAAAAAUAACUCAAAAAUCACGCAUCCUGGUUAUCGUGAGAGCGUCGAUGAGGAUGACAGAUGGAUGAACGUUCUUGGGCAAAUGCAUGCAGGAAGAGGGCUCAUCUUUGGGCAUCACUGUUCCUGUUUGAGCCAUGGUGUAUGCAUGUGGAUUAUUGUGAGUAUUAAUAUUUUGCUCAGGGCACAACGAAGUCAGUCAAACAAACCAUUUAUAAAUACUUCUGACACCUUUCAAAUCCAUCAUGGAUGAGCAGCCAAGAACUUCGUUGGAAGAGUCUCAUUUCAGGCUCAGCUCCACUAAAUCAACACCAAUGGGAUUUACAUGACUUGAAGGGACUCACUCAUUGCUGCAAACCAAGACGUGAUGUAUGAUGGUUGGAGCAAAUUUGGAGCUCCUCAAUGGAUUUGUUUGCAUAUGUUAACAAUCCUUGUCAAAUAAACCAUUUCAAAAGGUU